CUACUUACAACAUCGGGAUGAUAAAAGAUAUUUUGAGGAUUAAAUUUGUUAACAGAUGGUAAACUCUUAGAACAGUAAUAUAAGUUCUCGUUUUAGCAUAUACUCCCAUUUUAUUCCACUUACUUGUUUGCCAAGUUUGAGCAGUCACCUAGGGAAGGAUUGUGCCCCCCACCCCCGGGCUGAUUACGGUCUCCUUAUUGAACACGUUAAAAGAAUGAAGAGAGCACGAGGAAGAGGCUGGUCCUCCUGAUUUAGGAGGGGCCGUGGGUGAGCUUUUUGAAAGACACAUGGUCCUGGCUUUUUCUUACCCUUAGGUUUAGCAGGACAGGCUCUAAACAGAUAACGGACUAGCAUAGUGGUAAAAAAGGGAGUCUCUGUGUCGUGGCCUGGCCCUGGGGUAACGGCCGGGGCCUCCCCAGGAGAGUCCCGGGGAAGGCACAUUGUCCUCACAGAACCAGAUCAACGGGGAUCUAGGCCUGGGAGGGGCCAGGACUCCCGGAGGUUCCAGGAAGGAUGCUCCGCGCAGGUUUGAGUGUCUUCCCGCCACGGAAAGAGCCAAAAGCACCGGGGCAGGCGAGGACCGCGGGCACCAAUAGCCGGCCGUCCCGCCCCCGUCCGUCCCUCCCCGGGGAUUGGCUGCCCCGCCCGCGCCGCCUCCCCUGUCUCCGCGCCGCGCGCCCGGCGCCGGCCUCUUAGUCUCGCUGACCAGGGCGGUGAGUGGCUCGGGGCUCCGGCUCCUCGUGGCGGGUGGGUACCCGGCCGGCCCGGGUGUGGCUGGGCUCGUCCCGCGUCCCCUCGAGCUUUGCCCGCCCGGAGCUCCGCUGCUCCCGGCGGCCAGGACGGAGGGGUAGAGCAGCCCUCGGCGGCCCGGGGGGCGGGCGGCCGUGCCCGUCCAGAGGCCGCGCGAGGCACAGACGCCGCGGGGCGCCGUCCGGAGGAGGCUUCCCGGUGGGCAGCCCCGGCCGCGGUAACAGCUUUGCGCUUUGCUUCCCCAGGGCGCAGCCGCGGCUACUUGGUAGCGGGUUCGGGGCCCGGCCGCGCCUGCGGCGGCGAGAGCCAUUCUGGACCGACCUCGGGCCUGCGGAGGUUGUGUGCGGCGUCUGCGGGGUGCAGCGGCCUCAGUUCUGAGCGCAGGUUGAAAACUACAGGUACGGCCAUUGAAGCUGGAAUGCUCUGGUACUGGUAUUUUCACUGACUUAGAUCAACUAUUGCUGUACAGUUUACAAUACACAGGGGUCUCUGAAAUUGUCAGAUAUUCUUACAUAACUUGUAGCAGCCAUGUGUCCAUGUAGUCACUGGGGUUAGAGCAGUAGGACAAUGCUGGUGGUGAGAGGGCCGUGUAGCAGAAGCUUUAUUUUGUUCUUUUAAUUCUCACAACUCUAUGAAGUUGAUACUAUUUUCUCAUUUUACAGAUGAAGCAACAGGUCAGAUAGUGACUCAAGGUCCUAUCACAUAUGCAUAGCUCUGAACAAGGAGCCUCAUAGGUAACUGUCUGGCUGUAUGACCUCUGAAAAAUCACUUAUCUUUCUUGGGAUUUAGUGUCCUUGGGAUUAGACCAGUUUUGGAGGGAAACACCACAGUAGAGCUAUUAAGAAUAUAAGCUUUUCAUAAUAUUUAGUUCUGUUACACCUCCAGAAGUUACCCAAAAUUUGGCAUAAAGGGAGCAUCUGUCAGCAUGUUAGGUGUUUUUGAUGAAUGUAGCAUAAUGAGCUGUAAAAGGAUUUAAAGAACACAAUGGUGCUAGGUUAGAAUGUGAAGGUUUUGGAGGUGAUGGGGAAAGUUUCCAUGUGGGAAGAAAUGUGAUAGUGUAGCGAGAUGAACAACCCAGUAUGUGCUAGAAGGAGUUCUUCCUGUUGACCAGCUCUGAAUGUCUGCAAAUACCUCAUUUUCCAGAAGUCUUAAAUAAAGAUAUUUAAUAUUCACCUUGGAGUCAUAAUGCUUAUUUCAUAAUAUUUUUCUAGCUAAACUUCAUUUCCUUUUCUUUCUAUUUUUCUAAUUAUUUUUCUAUUUUUUAUUUUUCUAUUCUAUGUUUGUUGAGGAAGAUUUGCCCUGAG
rnacentral:lncRNA from 1 species